rnacentral:lncRNA from 1 species
GGAUAACGCUGACCCUGAAAAAUGAACCCUGCUCUGGAGGAAUCUAUAGUUAAACUGGGUGCAGUGUUUUCCAUGCUGUUUUAUGGCAACUUGUUGCUGGGGCCCCAUUUAACCCCAAGAGAUCCAGAACCUGGGCAGAAUCAGAAAGAAAUCCAGAGAGCAAACUGGUUAUUUAAGAGUAAAAGAGCCUUACUUCUACCAACAGUACAAUAUAUGACUUUGAAUGAAGUUAUUUUUGGAUCACAGAGGUACAGUUACAAAGGUUCAGUUACACUUCUAGAAAUUCCAGCACCCUGUGGAUUAUGUAGAAAGUGCUCACCAAGAAAGGCCAGUGCAUGGAAACUCAACUUUCUGAAGCUUUCCAUCUGGAGGAGAGACUGUCUCCCAGUGUUCCUGACUUCCUUCGAGUCUCAGCUAAGUCCCUUAAUCUUAGUGCCUUCCCUCUGAAACUAGCCUCAAUUUACCCUGGAUAUAUUUUUUGUUUGUACAUAGUUGCUUGUAUUCUGUCUCCCACAUUGGAGUAAUGGUUCUAGUGACUGGGAGGGACUUCAAGUAGAAUUUGAUGUUUGAACUGCAUUUUAAAUUAAGAAAUGAACAUUGCCUCAGUCAAAGUGAGACCUGGGAAAGACCUUAGCUUAAAAGGGCCAAGGUUUCCCACUAUAUCUGGGGCCAUCUCCAGUCAUCUUGAUCUAUAUCUUGCCACUGGAUCCAGAUGGCUCCAGAGGACAGAGUAAGCAACCUUGCACAGCACCCCCUCCUUUAAAUAUUCACUUGCAAGUCAAGGCAUCACCUUCCUGAUGUCAUGGUCCUCUUCAAGAAGGAAGGGCAAACAACAACCUGUAAGUAGUAGUAGCUGCCCCAAUGAGGAUGCAACUGGCCAGUUCCAGUUAGACAAUGCAGCUCCUUCCUUCCUUCCCUCACUCCCUCCUCUCUUUCUGUCUACAUAGGCUAUCAUACCCUUACCUGCAGGUGCUCUGCCCAGGGAAAUAUAGAUUUUGAUUGCUGAAACCUGGCAAGAUAUCUUGAGUUUAUGGGACAGAUUUAUGUCUUAAGCACCUUACUUUAAACUCAAAUCCAUCUGGCUCUCAUUGAUUGGCCAACAAUAGGUCCCAGCCAAAGCCUUACUUUGUCAUCG